GGAUGAACGCUGGCGGCGUGCCUAACACAUGCAAGUCGAACGGAGUCCAGCCUUUAAGACCUUCGGGUCAAAGAGGGGAAGACUGAGUGGCGGACGGGUGAGUAACACGUGGGCAACCUGGCUCAUAGAGGGGGAUAACAGAGAGAAAUUUCUGCUAAUACCGCAUAAGCACACACUGCCGCAUGGCAGAGGGUGAAAAGAGAAUCGCUAUGAGAUGGACCCGCGUCUGAUUAGCCAGUUGGCAGGGUAAGAGCCUACCAAAGCGACGAUCAGUAGCCGAUCUGAGAGGAUGAACGGCCACAUUGGGACUGAGACACGGCCCAAACUCCUACGGGAGGCAGCAGUGGGGGAUAUUGCACAAUGGGGGGAACCCUGAUGCAGCGACGCCGCGUGAGUGAAGAAGUAUUUCGGUAUGUAAAGCUCUAUCAGCAGGGAAGAUAAUGACAGUACCUGAAUAAGAAGCCCCGGCUAACUACGUG
rnacentral:rRNA from 1 species